rnacentral:rRNA from 1 species
GAUGAACGCUGGCGGCGUGCCUAAUACAUGCAAGUCGAGCGAACGGACGAGAAGCUUGCUUCUCUGAUGUUAGCGGCGGACGGGUGAGUAACACGUGGAUAACCUACCUAUAAGACUGGGAUAACUUCGGGAAACCGGAGCUAAUACCGGAUGAUAUUUUGAACCGCAUGGUUCAAAAGUGAAAGACGGUCUUGCUGUCACUUAUAGAUGGAUCCGCGCUGCAUUAGCUAGUUGGUAAGGUAACGGCUUACCAAGGCAACGAUGCAUAGCCGACCUGAGAGGGUGAUCGGCCCCACUGGACCUGAGACACGGUCCAGACUCCUACGGGAGGCAGCAGUAGGGAAUCUUCCGCAAUGGGCGAAAGCCUGACGGAGCAACGCCGCGUGAGUGAUGAAGGUCUUCGGUUCGUAAAACUCUGUUAUUAGGGAAGAACAUAUGUGUAAGUAACUGUGCACAUCUUGCCGGUACCUAAGCAGAAAGCCACGGCUAACUACGU